rnacentral:rRNA from 1 species
UACAGAGGGAGCAAGCGUUGUUCGGAAUUACUGGGCGUAAAGGGCGCGUAGGCGGUUCGAUAAGUCCCGUGUGAAAUCCCUCGGCUCAACUGAGGAAUGGCACGGGAAACUGACGGGCUUGAGUUCGGGAGAGGGAAGCGGAAUUCCGGGUGUAGUGGUGAAAUGCGCAGAUAUCAGGAGGAACACCGAUGGCGAAGGCAGGUCUCUGGGCAUUAACUGA